AGAGUUUGAUUAUGGCUCAGGAUGAACGCUGGCGGCGUGCUUAACACAUGCAAGUCGAACGAGGAUUUAACGGAAUGCGAUUCGUCAAAUGAAAUUAAAUCCGAGUGGCGGACGGGUGAGUAACGCGUGGAUAACCUGCCUCACACAGGGGGACAACAGCCGGAAACGGCUGCUAAUACCGCAUAACACAAGUAAUUCGCAUGAAUAACUUGCCAAAGAUUUUAUCGGUGUGAGAUGGAUCCGCGUCUGAUUAGCCAGUUGGCGGGGUAACGGCCCACCAAAGCGACGAUCAGUAGCCGACCUGAGAGGGUGACCGGCCACAUUGGGACUGAGACACGGCCCAA
rnacentral:rRNA from 1 species